rnacentral:rRNA from 1 species
UGAGGAAUAUUGGUCAAUGGGUGCAAGCCUGAACCAGCCAUCCCGCGUGAAGGACGACUGCCCUAUGGGUUGUAAACUUCUUUUGUAUAGGGAUAAACCUACCCUCGUGAGGGUAGCUGAAGGUACUAUACGAAUAAGCACCGGCUAACUCCGUGCCAGCAGCCGCGGUAAUACGGAGGGUGCAAGCGUUAUCCGGAUUUAUUGGGUUUAAAGGGUCCGUAGGCGGACUUAUAAGUCAGUGGUGAAAGCCUGUCGCUUAACGAUAGAACUGCCAUUGAUACUGUAAGUCUUGAGUAUAUUUGAGGUAGCUGGAAUAAGUAGUGUAGCGGUGAAAUGCAUAGAUAUUACUUAGAACACCAAUUGCGAAGGCAGGUUACCAAGAUACAACUGACGCUGAGGGACGAAAGCGUGGGGAGCGAACA